AUCAAUAUUCUUUUUUCACAGCAAUCUGAGGUGGUUUCAAUUGGUUGCCAAACUCUUUUAUCAACUUGAAGAAAAGUGAGCCAAAUUGUGGGACUAAAAUUCUAAAAUGACAAGAGAGAGAGAGACAAGAGAGAGAACGAUUGUUGGCGUGGGCAUCGGGUUGCUUUGCUUUUUGGGCAGGGUGUGCCUAAUGUUGUCAGCUUUGUAUAGUCUUUUUUUAUUAUUUGCUGGUGUGUGAUUUUUGGUUUCUGUUGCAGCUGAAUUUGAAAAGGUGGUCUUGAUUUUAUUUCGAUCUCGCUUGCGAGACGGUGACUUUUCGGCGCCGGAACUGAGUUUAGUUCUUUGGACUGCUCCAUGACUAUAAGGACUGAAAUCGUCAUGGACCGGUGUUUUUUCUAUCUUGUGGCUGUCGGCGGUGGUCGUCCUUGCAUGCCGCGCAAUAGUGGUCCUCUGUGUUCAGGGUUCAUCUGGAUUUUUGCAAAUGAUCCUUUGUUUUGUAUUUUGCUUUAGUUUCCUUUCUUUUGCAUGCCAAGGGUUUCGAUUGUUAUCUAAAUCUGGUUGCAUCGAUGGGUUGGUGUCGUUGUCUUCUUUGAGAGUGUGUAUUGCUUGCCGUUGGUGAAGCAGUCGGUUGCUGGUGCAUUGGCACCAUCCAUCUAUUUUGCUUUUGUUGUUUGUAACCUGUUCCUAGCCCAUUGAGCCUUGUUUAAAAUGCAGCUUAUUUGCAUUGGUAAAAAAAAAUUGUGUAACUUAUUAAAUUUCAUCACUGGUUGAAAAAAAAAAUUAAUGUAAUAAAUACUCAC
rnacentral:lncRNA from 1 species